rnacentral:rRNA from 1 species
UGCCCAUCGUUUACUGUGAAAAAAUUAGAGUGUUCAAAGCAGGCUUAUGCCGUUGAAUAUAUUAGCAUGGAAUAAUGAUAUAGGACCUUGGUACUAUUUUGUUGGUUUGCGCACUAAGGUAAUGAUUAAGAGGGACAGUUGGGGGUAUUUGUAUUCCAUUGUCAGAGGUGAAAUUC